rnacentral:rRNA from 1 species
CCUACGGGUGGCUGCAGUGAGGAAUAUUGGUCAAUGGGCGAGAGCCUGAACCAGCCAUGCCGCGUGAGGGAUGAAGGCGUUCUGCGUUGUAAACCUCUUUUAUUAGGGAAGAAACCUGCGAUUUCUAUUGCAGCCGACGGUACCUGAUGAAUAAGCACCGGCUAACUCCGUGCCAGCAGCCGCGGUAAUACGGAGGGUGCAAGCGUUAUCCGGAUUCACUGGGUUUAAAGGGUGUGUAGGCGGGCUUUUAAGUCCGUGGUGAAAUCUCCGAGCUU